UACAGAGAAAACAAGCGUUAUUCGGAAUUAUUGGGCGUAAAGGGCGCGUAGGCGGCCUGACAAGUGGAAGGUGAAAUCCCUCGGCUUAACCGAGGAACUGCCCUCCAAACUGUUUGGCUUGAGACCGGGAGAGGUGAGUGGAAUUCCCAGUGUAGCGGUGAAAUGCGUAGAUAUUGGGAGGAACACCAGUGGCGAAGGCGGCUCACUGGACCGGUACUGACGCUGAGACGCGAAAGCGUGGGGAGCAAACGGG
rnacentral:rRNA from 1 species